rnacentral:pre_miRNA from 1 species
UGGACAGAUUAUUGCAUUCGACUGUAUUCACAGCGUGAAAUAGGGGAUUAUACUGUUUUUAAAACAGAAAGUGAAUCAAUUAACAUAAUAGACUCCU